rnacentral:tRNA from 1 species
GGAACGAUAGCUUACGAGGUCUGAGCGGCGGUCUGAAAAACCGCAGGAUGAUGGAUCGUUACCAUCUCGUUCCA